GACACUUUGCCGGAGUGGUUAACGGGUACCCCUGCUAAGGGUAUGAGCUUUGCUCGCGUGUGUUCGAAUCGCACAGGUGUCG